ACUCUUCAAAUCCUUCAUUUAUUUUUUUAUGAAUUAAGUUUGAUUUGGUUUUUGAAUAUUGUUGGAGGAGUAAUCCUCGAAACUUAUUCGUAAUACAUUAGCCUUCCCAUUUCGAGAUCAGAUUGACUCGGCGUAAUAGAUUAUUCGCUGAGGAUUAUAGAACUUCUAUAAGCUGAACUUGUAAAUAUUUAGAAAGCUUCUAAUCACAUUAAAUUCUAAGA
rnacentral:misc_RNA from 1 species